AUUGAACGCUGGCGGAAUGCUUAACACAUGCAAGUCGAGCGAGCUGUAGCAAUACAGCUAGCGGCGGACGGGUGAGGAAUACAUAGGAAUCUGCCUCAGAGCGGGGGAUAGCCCGGGGAAACUCGGAGUAGUACCGCAUGAUGUCGCAAGACCAACGUGGGGGACCGCAAGGCCCCACACUCUGAGAUGAGCCUAUGUCUGAUUAGCUAGUUGGCGGGGUAAUGGCCCACCAAGGCGACGAUCAGUAGCUGGUCUGAGAGGACGAUCAGCCACACCGGAACUGAGACACGGUCCGGACUCCUACGGGAGGCAGCAGUGGGGAAUAUUGGACAAUGGGCGCAAGCCUGAUCCAGCAAUUCCGCGUGGGUGAAGAAGGCCUUCGGGUUGUAAAGCCCUUUAAGUUGGGACAAAAAAAUCGGCGAUAACAUCGCCGGUCUUGAUGGUACCGACAGAAUAAGCAACGGCUAACUCUGUGCCAGCCGCCGCGGUAA
rnacentral:rRNA from 1 species